GACGAACGCUGGCGGCGUGCUUAACACAUGCAAGUCGAACGGUGAAAGAAGAGAUUGCUCUUCUGGAUCUGUGGCGAAAGGGUGAGUAUAACGUGUGUGACAUGUCCCAGACUCUGGAAUAAGCGAUGGAAACGCCGUCUCAUAUCGGAUAUGAAACAGAUCUGCACGGCUACUAUGUGGAAAAUGUUUCGUUCUAGGAAGGACGCGCGGUCUAUCAUCAUAUUGGUGAGGUAACGGCGCACAAAUGCAACGACGGGUAGCCGGAUUGCGAGGGCGACAGGCCACACUCGGAUUGAGACAGGAGCCAGACGCCUACUUGAGGCAGCGGUGGAGAAUAUUGCACGAUGGGCGAAAGCCGGGUGCAGCGACGCCGCGUGAGGAAUGACGGCCUUCGGGGUGUAAACCUCGUUCGGCAGGGAAGAAGCGAAAGUGACGGUACCUGCAGAAGAAGCACCGGCUAACUACGUG
rnacentral:rRNA from 1 species